rnacentral:rRNA from 1 species
CAGCAGCCGCGGUAAUACGUAGGUCCCGAGCGUUGUCUGGAUUUAUUGGGCGUAAAGCGAGCGCAGGCGGUUAGAUAAGUCUGAAGUUAAAGGCUGUGGCUUAACCAUAGUACGCUUUGGAAACUGUUUAACUUGAGUGCAGAAGGUGAGAAUGGAAUUCCAUGUGUAGCGGUGAAAUGCGUAGAUAUAUGGAGGAACACCGGUGGCGAAAGCGGCUCUCUGGUCUGUAACUGACGCUGAGGCUCGAAAGCGUGGGGAGCAAACAGGAUUAGAUACCCGCGUAGUCCCUGUCUCUUAUACA